ensembl:misc_RNA 7SK 7SK RNA
GGAUAUGAGGGUAAUCUGGCUGCUGUCAGCUGCUACUGAGUAGAUAUCUCUAGGGCUGACUAGGCUGAUUCAGCAGGUUGGCAAGUGCCCCAUCCCUCCUGUGUCAUCCCUCCUGCCUUCCCGCAAAGCAGAGCAAUCUGCUGAAGAGUCUUUUCCUCCUCCGGAAGAGGCCCUGAGUAGGUGUGUGCGUAGCCACGGCCCGCCCCUGCUGGAACUUCCAAACAAGCUCGCAAGAAUUGGCAGGAGUACGCCCAAGUCUCCGAACAUAACCGGAUGUGAUGACGCACGUAACAGUCUGCCUCUCC